rnacentral:lncRNA from 1 species
UGCAACUGUGUAUUUGCGAACUUCUUGGCGAGAACCUGUUGGAACACUCGGAGAACAUGACAAGACCUUGGAUUCACCUAUUUCAAUACCUGAGCUUCCAGUUGAGUUCCUUCUCAAAUAGCCGACUCCGGACUCAAUUUUGUCCAGGUUCACUGGCAUGCCAACAUCGUUUUUCUUGCUCAACUCAUAAGAUGCAGUGUCUUUAUCCAUCCUGCUUCCUGUGUUUGUUUUGGUGGUUGCAUCAUCCAAUAUAGACCCCUUAAGUGUGAGCGAAACCCCUGUCAUAAGACUGUCACUGUAUCUUCUUCUGCUUAGUUUGUUGCUUCUUGACACAGAAUAAUCAUUUUCUCCAAGAGGCUUCAGCUUCAAAUCACUUCGAUGCCUUGCAGAAACGGCUAAUUUUUUGGUGCAUGCUUGUAUUUCCUUUCCAUGGGAAGUUUUCAGCCUUCUGAUAUUUGCAGGUAGUUUAGUUGAGUGUAGUGGUUUCUUCCGUAUCUGCCACUUCACAGUUGUAGCCAAUUUUGAAUUUUCUCCUGAUGAAGUUACAGAUGUUUUGGACAUGUGAGUCCUCGCCUUUGUUUUACAGUUGAGUUCCGCACCAUCUUUGUUAGCGUCAGAAGAACCUGUUGGAACACUCACAUGACGUGGCAAGACCUUGGAGUCACCCAUUUCAAUACCUAAAUUGCCAGUUGAGUUCCUUCUCAAAUAACUGAGUUCAUGCUCAAUUUUCUCCAAGUUUGCAGGUUUUCCGACAACCUUCUUGUUGCCCAACUUAGAAGACCCAGUGUUCUUGUCCAUCCUGCUUCCUUUGUUUGGUGUGCCGGUUGCACCAUCCAACGGAGAAUUCUGAGCAAUUGAUGAUCCCCCUGGUAUGAUAGUGUCGCUGUAUCCUCUUAUCCUCAGCUUAUAGAUUCCGGACAUAGAAUUAGCAUUUUCCUGCAACGACUUCAUCUUCAAACCGUUCCGUUGUUUUACAGAAACAGCUAAUCUUUUGGCGUAUGCUGGGAUCUCCUGUCUCUGGGAUUUACCAGUUGUACGCCUCUUGAAAUUCACAGGUAGCUUACUCGAGCGUAGUGGUUUCUUCCUUAUCUGCACCUGUACAGUUGUAGUCAAUUCUGGUAUUUUUUCUGAUGCUACUACUGUUCUACUCAGCAGGGAAGUCCUUGCUAUUGUUGUUUGAUCAUCACGUUCAGCACCUUUGCAAGCGUCAUGGCAAGAACCUUUUGGAUCGCUCAGGUAACGUGACAAGACCUUGGAUUUAGCAAUUUGAAAGCCAAAGCUGCCAGUUGAGUUCCUUCUCAAAAAGCGAGCAUCACGCUCAAUUCUCUCCAGAUGUGCAGGUAUGCCAACAACCAUCUCAGCCAUUUUGAGUUUGAGCAAUGAAACUAGUACCACUGCAGAACUUAUCAGAAGCAGAGACCCUUUGAAACCUCGACCUCACAAAUGCAGCAUCCUAGUGUGGAAAAAAUAACAAGGACCUGUGAGAGAAUUGAUACUGAUAAAAAAAGCAAGUGGUGGCAUUCAUGGUUUUCUAUCCACUUAUUGUAUGAUUAAACAUAAAC